UACGUAGGGUGCAAGCGUUGUCCGGAAUUAUUGGGCGUAAAGGGCUCGUAGGCGGUCUGUCGCGUCGGCUGUGAAAACCCGAGGCUCAACCUCGGGCCUGCAGUCGAUACGGGCAAACUAGAGUACUGCAGGGGAGACUGGAAUUCCUGGUGUAGCGGUGAAAUGCGCAGAUAUCAGGAGGAACACCGGUGGCGAAGGCGGGUCUCUGGGCAGUAACUGACGCUGAGGAGCGAAAGCGUGGGGAGCGAACAGG
rnacentral:rRNA from 1 species